rnacentral:lncRNA from 1 species
GUAUUUCCAGAAAUUAAUGCACCACCACCACCACGAUCACGAUUCCAACUCAGCCAGGCUGGGAGUCUUCACCUCCGAGGACUGUGUUCUUCGCAGAAAAUAACCCAGACAGACAUAGGAUCCGGCCGCUCCCGGGACGAUCCAUCCAUCACGGCUGCGGGAACAGCGUUUGAAAGGUCGGCAUCCAACCCGCCGGCAGCGGGAGCUCGGCUUCCCCCCGGGGCCCGGGGCCGGCCAGUCAGGGAGAGCAGCGCGGCCUCGGCUGGCCGCCUUCUCCGGGAUUGAGGGUGGGGGGCUAUGAGGCCCGGAGCGCCUGAGAAGAGGGAGAUCCCGGCCUCACGCCACCACAGCGGACCAGCGCCCGGCUGCUGUCGCCUCGAGGGGGACCAAAAGG